rnacentral:rRNA from 1 species
UACGGAGGGUGCAAGCGUUGUUCGGAAUCAUUGGGCGUAAAGCGCGUGUAGGCGGUCUUAUAAGUCUGGUGUGAAAGCCCGGGGCUCAACCCCGGAAGUGCACUGGAUACUGUUUGACUAGAGGACUGGAGAGGGAAGUGGAAUUCCUGGUGUAGGGGUGAAAUCCGUAGAUAUCAGGAGGAACAUCGGAAGCGAAGGCGGCUUCCUGGCCAGUAACUGACGCUGAGACGCGAAAGCGUGGGGAGCAAACAGG